rnacentral:rRNA from 1 species
UACGUAGGGUGCGAGCGUUAAUCGGAAUUACUGGGCGUAAAGUGUGCGCAGGCGGCCGAGCAAGUCGAGUGUGAAAGCCCCGAGCUUAACUUGGGAACUGCGCUCGAAACUACUUGGCUAGAGUGUGGCAGAGGGAGGUGGAAUUCCACGUGUAGCGGUGAAGUGCGUAGAGAUGUGGAGGAACACCAGUGGCGAAGGCGACUCUUUGGCCUGUAACUGACGCUGAGGCGCGAAAGCGUGGGGAGCAAACAGG